AGAGUUUGAUCCUGGCUCAGGAUGAACGCUAGCUACAGGCUUAACACAUGCAAGUCGAGGGGCAGCAUGGUCUUAGCUUGCUAAGGCUGAUGGCGACCGGCGCACGGGUGAGUAACACGUAUCCAACCUGCCGUCUACUCUUGGCCAGCCUUCUGAAAGGAAGAUUAAUCCAGGAUGGCAUCAUGAGUUCACAUGUCCGCAUGAUUAAAGGUAUUUUCCGGUAGACGAUGGGGAUGCGUUCCAUUAGAUAGUAGGCGGGGUAACGGCCCACCUAGUCAACGAUGGAUAGGGGUUCUGAGAGGAAGGUCCCCCACAUUGGAACUGAGACACGGUCCAAACUCCUACGGGAGGCAGCAGUGAGGAAUAUUGGUCAAUGGGCGCAGGCCUGAACCAGCCAAGUAGCGUGAAGGAUGACUGCCCUAUGGGUUGUAAACUUCUUUUAUAUGGGAAUAAAGUUUUCCACGUGUGGAAUUUUGUAUGUACCAUAUGAAUAAGGAUCGGCUAACUCCGUGCCAGCAGCCGCGGUAAUACGGAGGAUCCGAGCGUUAUCCGGAUUUAUUGGGUUUAAAGGGAGCGUAGGUGGAUAGUUAAGUCAGUUGUGAAAGUUUGCGGCUCAACCGUAAAAUUGCAGUUGAUACUGGCUGUCUUGAGUACAGUAGAGGUGGGCGGAAUUCGUGGUGUAGCGGUGAAAUGCUUAGAUAUCACGAAGAACUCCGAUUGCGAAGGCAGCUCACUGGACUGCAACUGACACUGAUGCUCGAAAGUGUGGGUAUCAAACAGGAUUAGAUACCCUGGUAGUCCACACAGGAAACGUUGAAUACUCGCUGUUUGCGACAUACAGUAAAGCGGGCCAAGCGAAAGCAUUAAGUAUUCCUCCUGGGGAGUACGCCGGCAACGGUGAAACUCAAAGGAAAUUGACGGGGACCCGCACAAGCGGUGGAGCAUGUGGUUUAAUUAGAAGCAACGAGAAGAACCUUACCAAGUCUUGACAUCCGCCUGACCGAUCCUUAACCGGAUCUUUCCUUCGGGACAGGCGAGACAGGUGGUGCAUGGUUGUCGUCAGCUCGUGUCGUGAGAUGUUGGGUUAAGUCCCGCAACGAGCGCAACCCCUAUCCUCAGUAGCCAGCAUUUAAGGUGGGCACUCUGGGGAGACUGCCAGGGAUAACCUGGAGGAAGGCGGGGAUGACGUCAAAUCAUCAUGCCCCUUAUGAUUUGGGCUACACACGUGCUACAAUGGCGUAAACAAAGGGAAGCGAGAUCGUGAGAUGGAGCAAAUCCCAAAAAUAACGUCCCAGUUCGGACUGUAGUCUGCAACCCGACUACACGAAGCUGGAAUCGCUAGUAAUCGCGGAUCAGAAUGCCGCGGUGAAUACGUUCCCGGGUCUUGCACACACCGCCCGUCAAG
rnacentral:rRNA from 1 species